rnacentral:rRNA from 1 species
GACGAACGCUGGCGGCGUGCUUAACACAUGCAAGUCGAACGGAAAGGCCCUGCUUUUGUGGGGUGCUCGAGUGGCGAACGGGUGAGUAACACGUGAGUAACCUGCCCUUGACUUUGGGAUCACUUCAGGAAACUGGGGCUAAUACCGUAUAGGAGCUCCUGCUGCAUGGUGGGGGUUGGAAAGUUUCGGCGGUUGGGUAUGGACUCGCGGCUUAUCAGCUUGUUGGUGGGGUAGUGGCUUACCAAGGCUUUGCCGGGUAGCCGGCCUGAGAGGGUGACCGGCCACAUUGGGACUGAGAUACGGCCCAGACUCCAACGGGAGGCAGCAGGGGGGAAUAUUGCACAAUGGGCGGAAGCCUGAGGCAGCAACGCCGCGUGCGGGAUGACGGCCUUCGGGUUGUAAACCGCUUGCGCCUGUGACGAAGCGUGAGUGACGGUAAUGGGUAAAGAAGCACCGGCUAACUACGUG